UACGUAGGGGGCGAGCGUUGUCCGGAAUUAUUGGGCGUAAAGCGUCCGCAGGUGGCAAUGUAAGUCUGCUGUCAAAGCGUCUGGCUCAACCAGAUAAAGGCAGUGGAAACUACAUAGCUAGAGUAAGGUAGGGGUAGAGGGAAUUCCUGGUGUAGCGGUGAAAUGCGUAGAGAUCAGGAAGAACACCGGUGGCGAAAGCGCUCUGCUGGACCUUAACUGACACUGAGGGACGAAAGCUAGGGGAGCGAAUGGG
rnacentral:rRNA from 1 species